rnacentral:rRNA from 1 species
GGAAUAUUGGACAAUGGACGGAAGUCUGAUCCAGCCAUCCCGCGUGCAGGAUGAAGGCGCUACGCGUUGUAAACUGCUUUUGUACAGGAAGAAACGCUAGGAUUUAUCUUAGCCUGACGGUACUGUCAGAAUAAGCACCGGCUAACUCCGUGCCAGCAGCCGCGGUAAUACGGAGGGUGCAAGCGUGAUCCGGAAUCACUGGGUUUAAAGGGUGCGUAGGCGGCUAAAUAAGUCAGAAGUGAAAGCCUGCGGCUUAACCGUAGAAUUGCUUUUGAUACUGUAUAGCUUGAAUUAGGUUGAGGUUGGCGGAAUGUGACAUGUAGCGGUGAAAUGCAUAGAUAUGUCAUAGAACACCAAUUGCGAAGGCAGCUGACUAGACCUUAAUUGACGCUGAGGCACGAAAGCGUGGGGAGCGAAC